CCUACGGGAGGCAGCAGUGGGGAAUAUUGGACAAUGGGCGCAAGCCUGAUCCAGCCAUGCCGCGUGAGUGAUGAAGGCCUUAGGGUUGUAAAGCUCUUUCGUCAGGGAAGAUAAUGACGGUACCUGAAGAAGAAGCCCCGGCUAACUUCGUGCCAGCAGCCGCGGUAAUACGAAGGGGGCUAGCGUUGCUCGGAAUCACUGGGCGUAAAGCGCACGUAGGCGGCUUUCUAAGUCAGGGGUGAAAUCCUGGAGCUCAACUCCAGAACUGCCUUUGAUACUGGAAAGCUUGAGUUCGGGAGAGGUGAGUGGAACUGCGAGUGUAGAGGUGAAAUUCGUAGAUAUUCGCAAGAACACCAGUGGCGAAGGCGGCUCACUGGCCCGAUACUGACGCUGAGGUGCGAAAGUGUGGGGAGCAAACAGGAUUAGAUACCCUGGUAGUCCACACCGUAAACGAUGAGAGCUAGUUGUUGGCAGGCAUGCCUGUCGGUGACGCAGCUAACGCAUUAAGCUCUCCGCCUGGGGAGUACGGCCGCAAGGUUAAAACUCAAAGGAAUUGACGG
rnacentral:rRNA from 1 species